UUUGAGUGAGUGGCGAACUGGUGAGUAACACGUGGGAAACCUGCCCAGAAGCGGGGGAUAACACCUGGAAACAGAUGCUAAUACCGCAUAACAACUUGGACCGCAUGGUCCGAGUUUGAAAGAUGGCUUCGGCUAUCACUUUUGGAUGGUCCCGCGGCGUAUUAGCUAGAUGGUGGGGUAACGGCUCACCAUGGCAAUGAUACGUAGCCGACCUGAGAGGGUAAUCGGCCACAUUGGGACUGAGACACGGCCCAAACUCCUACGGGAGGCAGCAGUAGGGAAUCUUCCACAAUGGACGAAAGUCUGAUGGAGCAACGCCGCGUGAGUGAAGAAGGGUUUCGGCUCGUAAAACUCUGUUGUUAAAGAAGAACAUAUCUGAGAGUAACUGUUCAGGUAUUGACGGUAUUUAACCAGAAAGCCACGGCUAACUACGUGCCAGCAGCCGCGGUAAUACGUAGGUGGCAAGCGUUGUCCGGAUUUAUUGGGCGUAAAGCGAGCGCAGGCGGUUUUUUAAGUCUGAUGUGAAAGCCUUCGGCUCAACCGAAGAAGUGCAUCGGAAACUGGGAAACUUGAGUGCAGAAGAGGACAGUGGAACUCCAUGUGUAGCGGUGAAAUGCGUAGAUAUAUGGAAGAACACCAGUGGCGAAGGCGGCUGUCUGGUCUGUAACUGACGCUGAGGCUCGAAAGUAUGGGUAGCAAACAGGAUUAGAUACCCUGGUAGUCCAUACCGUAAACGAUGACUGCUAAGUG
rnacentral:rRNA from 2 species